rnacentral:lncRNA from 1 species
UGGGGACGAAGGGACGGUGCGGGUCGGGCUCGGCGCGCGCUGGGGGGCGGCCCCAAUCCGCCUCCAUCCUCCACCGGGCGGGCCCAGCCCCCGCCUUCGCGCUCCCGGACGGCUCCACCGGACCCUCCCCGGCCUCCGUAGCGACCCCUGCCUGCGGCCGCCGGCACCGAUUCCUCUUCGGGGCCUACGAGCCAAGAUGGAGCCCUCCCGCUGAACCAUCCGCCUCCAUCCGCCCUCUGUCCGCCUUCCAUCCGCCUCGCACCGUCCUUCCGAGGAUCUAUCCGGUUCCUACCGGCUUUCCCGGCUCUAUAUCGGCGGCGUCGCGGCGGGUUCUGUGCGCAGCGGAGAGCAGGAAGGUCCCCCUCUCCAUCCAGGCCCGCCGCCAUUUUCUCCGCUGAUGUGAGGGCGCGCGGCGGGGCCCGGCCGGAGCCGCCGCCUCAUGCCCGGCCGAGGGCCGCUGCCUUAACGGGCGCUGCUCGGUGGGCAAAGUGGGGGGGACGUCGGAGGAGGCGGCGGCGGGGAGGAGGUGGAGGAGGAAGGCCGGGAGCCAGGGCCGGGCACGCAGCCGCCGGCAUGCUGCAGAAUGUGAAUCCCCAGAGCAAGUAGGUGAUGAGGGGCAGGAAUGGGGGCCGGGGGGGGCUGUGGGGUGUUGGCAGUUAUGAACCGGGGAUGGCGUUGUUGUGGGGACGGCGGUAUGGGGCUGCCGCGUCCCGGUGCUCCACCCGGGGCCGGUUGGAUCUCGUUUGUCUGCCGGUUGUCCUCGUUUAUGUGUUCCUCAUCCCCGUGGAUCGAUUGCGUGGGGACGGGGACGUGGGGACCUGGUGCUCUUUAGGGACCCGCUGUUCCCUCCCAUUUGUCGACCAAGCUGCUUUUAGGGCUGUGGAUCAUACAGGGGACCUGGCAGCCUGCUGUCCCCAUGGAUCCUAACAGGGACACGGGGAGGUGCAUAGCACAGAGUCAUUCCUACAGAUUUUUAGGGACAGGGACUCAAGGCCAUGCAUCCAACAGUGCCAUCCCCAUGGAUUAUUUGAGGGGAAUGGGACCCAGAUUCUACAGAGCCAUCCCUAUUUAUCCAUUCCCCAUCCCCAUGGAUUCUUUGGGGUCAGAGAUACAGGGACACAGUGGUUCCCUGCUGCUAUCCCUUCAUUGCCCAGGGAUUAGGGUGCAGUGUGGAUGUCCACCAGAGCUAUGGGGCUUUUCUGUCACAGAGCUCUGAGUUUGGGGUCACUGAGUCCCAUUGAUGUGCUGCUUGUUCCCAUUUAUCCACUUCCCAUUUCUGUGGGUCCUUCAGGGACGUUGGGACUCGGCAGCCCCGUGGUCCAUGUGAAUUCUGUCAGGGAUGCAGGGACACAGAUCCUACAGGGAACCUGGCAGCCCUGUUUUCCCAUGGAUCCUGACUGGGCCACCCCCAUUUAUCCACUCCUCAUACCCCUGGUCCUUGGGGUCAGCAUCACAAGGGCCCUUAGGGCCCUGCUGCCACCUCUGCUGACUGAG